rnacentral:rRNA from 1 species
AACGAACGCUGGCGGCAUGCCUAACACAUGCAAGUCGAACGAGACCUUCGGGUCUAGUGGCGCACGGGUGCGUAACGCGUGGGAACCUGCCCUUAGGUUCGGAAUAACUCCCCGAAAGGGGUGCUAAUACCGGAUAAUGUCUUCGGACCAAAGAUUUAUCGCCUUUGGAUGGGCCCGCGUUGGAUUAGCUAGUUGGUAGGGUAAAAGCCUACCAAGGCGACGAUCCAUAGCUGGUCUGAGAGGAUGAUCAGCCACACUGGGACUGAGACACGGCCCAGACUCCUACGGGAGGCAGCAGUGGGGAAUAUUGGACAAUGGGCGAAAGCCUGAUCCAGCAAUGCCGGGUGAGUGAUGAAGGCCUUAGGGUUGUAAAGCGCCUUUACCCGGGAUGAUAAUGACAGUACCGGGAGAAUAAGCUCCGGCUAACUCCGUG